CAAAACAUAACUAUUUAUGUCAGUUGUAACGUAAUUAUGCACUCAUAGAAUGCUCGUGUUAAAACUUAAAGACACAUAGUCGUAAAGACAAAGACAACAAUAACAUUAAUUUUGCUCUUAUAAUUUAUUGCUAUAUUAUUGUAUUGAAAUGCGACAAAGUAAAGUGUUUAGAAAUUUAACUGGUGCAUAAAGAUUUUCUAUUGAUAAUGUCAUGAAAAAUCUGGCCAUACAACCAUGUUUAGCAAACUGUCUGCUUCUGCAAACGGAUCGCGUACAUUUGAGCAUUGUUUUGAAACUUAAUAAAUGUCACAAAAAACGAAAUUCACUAGUUUUUUAGACUCAACAGUCUGUUAAUACAUAAAAAAGAAGACAGAAGACUUAAUUACAACUUUAUUAAAGAACAUGAUUUGAAGUUUCAAGGCGAAAAGUUUGAGAGUCAAUUUCAUUUAUUUAUUUCUGAUUAUGGUAAGAGCUGGACUCGAAGUAAACAAACCGUUUAAUUCGAAUCUCUUACCAUAAUCAUAAUAAAUUAGUAAUUAAUUUUGUCCAGUUAUAGUGAAUUCUGGCCCACUGUGCAGCAUCAAAUAGGAUUCAAAGCGAAUAUCCGAGUGCUUUUAAGUUAAUAAACAGACAAAAUGUGGUUGGUCAUCCAAAAGUUCAUUUUGUUUCAUCAUGACUUGACGAUGGUUUCGGUAUAGUUUAGGGCGAUAUGAAAGAAUUUAAAAUUAUAAUGUUACAAAAGAACUUAUUUUAAUUUAAAUGCAAACAACAUCACAAAGCUUGGAUGAGAGAAAAUGUUUUUGCUUCACUUACAGAAAAAAAAGGAUUCUCAAACAAAUUAAAAAAUAUCAGCAAUAUGUUGAGGAAGAGAUGAAUUACAAAGUAUUAAAAAGGGAAUUGUAGCAAUGGUUGAUUUAGUAUUAGUUAACAAAGCCGACGGUGACUUGCUUCCUGCAGCAAAGAGGAUUCAAAGUAUUACAUGAGUGCUCUUAAGUUAAGUUUUUAAGUAGGCAAAUUGAUGUUUGGCAUCCAAAAGUUCUUUCUGUUUCAUCAUUACUCGACGAAGGUUUUGGUAUAGUUUGGGACGAAGUGAUAGAAUUUAAAAAUACAAUGCUACAAAAAACAUGUUUUAAUUUAAUUGCAAACAACAAUAAAAUGCUUGGAUGUGGAGAAUUUUGAGAGAAUAUGUUUUUUCUUAUUUUACAAAAAAUGAAAAGUUCUCAAACAAGUUAAAAAACAUGAAGGUUUUGGUACAGCUUUUUUCUGAAAUGACAGAGUUUAAAAUAUAAAAAAAUUUUUCUAUGCAUACAACGAUACAAAGUUUGAAUGUGGAGAAUUUUGAGAGAAAUUAUUUUUGCUUUUAUUUAUUUUUAUUUUUCGCUUCAUUUACAGAAAAUGAAAAGGUUUUCGAAUAAAUUAAAAAACAUUAACAAUUUGUCGAAGAAGAGAUGAACUACAAGGUAUUAAAUAGAGAGUUGUAGAAAUGGUUGACAAAUCCGACGGCGACUUGCUGUCUUCAGCAAUGAGGGUUCAAAGCAAAUAUACGAGUGCUCUUAUGUUAAUAAGCAGACAAAAUAAGGUUUCCCAUUCAAAAGUUCAUUCUGUUUUAUCUUCACUUCACUUGGUUUUCGUAUAAUUUCAAUUGAAAAGACAGAGUUUAAAAAUAUAAUGCUUUAGUUUAAACGCAAAAAACAAUACAAAACAUGGAUGUGGAGCAUUUUGAGAGAAAAUAUUUUUUUUUUUAUAUACAGAAAAUGAGAAUGUUUUAAAACAAAUUAAAAAGCAUUACUAGUACAUCGAGGAAUAGAUGAAUUACAAAGUAAUAAAAGAGGAAUUGUAGAAAUGGUUGAUUUAGUAUUAGUUAACGAAGCCGACGGCGGCUUGCUUUCUGCAGCAUGGAGGAUUCAAAGUCAUAUUCGAGUGCUCUUAAGUUAUUAAGCAGAAAAAUUAAUGUUUGGCAUUUCAAAGAUCAUUCUGUUUCAUCAUUAUUCGACAAAGGUUUUGGUAUAGUUUGGGCCGAAAUGACAGAGUUUAAAAAUGUAAUGCUUCAAAAAAACCUAAUUCAUAUUUUAUGCCAUAGAUUAUGGACAUCAAUGAACAUUUUAUUUAUAUAGUAAUAUAUAGACUAUGUUAUCUUCGUAAUGGUUUAUGUUACAAAAACAGUAAAAAUAGGUUAAUUAUAGAAAGUUCACAUUUUAUGAUUUAUUAUUCCACAAAGUUUCAUCAAUACAGUAAAUCAUGGAAAUGACGUAAUAUUCUUUUUAAGUGUGUGAUCUAUUAAAUGUUUCAUCAAUGUGUAAUGUGAUGCGUGAUCUAAAAUCUUACAACGAAUUGUAUUCUGUUAAAAUUAUUUUUUUAAAUUUACAAUUUUUUUUUAA